rnacentral:lncRNA from 1 species
AAUGAAAAAUAGUAGCAGCUGUUUCAGUAAAAAAUUCUAAGGGUUAACAUAACAUGAUGUAAACUAUUUCAUGUGUUCUUCCUACUUGCCCAUUUUAAUCAGAAAUGAGUAAGAAGAGCCUUAUAUGCAGUGAACUUGAGGAAUGCUAAUGGGAUGUCUGCAUCGCGUUGUACUCGGAGUACUUAUGCCAGAAUAGGAAAGCCUUUUAUUCUGUAAUUCUCUGAGGCAAGAAGGAGGCUUUCUGAAGAGUUACUUUAAAUUUAAACUCUCAUUCUAAUGUUAGACAGCCUGUUGGAUCUCUGAGUUAAAAAUUGCUUCGGCUUUAGUUACUAGAGCCAGAUGUAACAUUGACCUUAAAUGGUAAAAGCUCCCAAGAGUGAAAGAGAGGCUGGCCUGAGGGGAAAAAGAGGAAUAACUGAAGUUUUAGGUAAGUAAUCUCUAUAACGGAGAAUAAGCUCUUUUUCAGCCGUGAAACAGAACGGAACCAUAUUUCCUCCUUAAAGGAAGCUCCUGCCUACAGCAUUCCAACCAUCAGCCUACUGAAUUUUCACUGCCCUUCCUUCACAGGGCACUCUGCUGACCAUGAGAGUUCCAGACCUUAAAUUCCUCUGAUAGAUUAUUGAAAACCAUCAAGUUUUAUGUGUUCCUGAGCUAUACGGAAAACAGGAAGCAGAAAAGACGAUUCUUUCCUGUCAUGCUGCUCUGUAAAGCCCAGUCCUAUAUGGGUAGCUUGUAGUCCUGAGGAAGCUGUACCUACUGAGUUUGAAACAGAAGUUUUUUAGCAGCUGGUGGACGUUUGCUGUAUUCUUCUUAUGCUUUUGUUAGUUUCUUCCUUUAAAAUAUUUUU